rnacentral:lncRNA from 10 species
GCAGAGCAGGAUUUGCUGAAUGUCAGCUGCAAGGAAAAUCCCUGGCCUCUGAGAUUGCAGAACACCACCAGCACCAACACCCAGGGCAGGGACUUGAACAGUCAACAAAUGAAAUUGAGGACAGGCAGCAUAAACACCAAGACCCAGCAAGCAGAGGCACAGGCAGCAGCACAGAAAGAACGAGACAGUCACGAAAGAACCACAACGUGGACCUUCCUCUGCAGCCUGAGGACUAGGUCACGGUAGGAGUGCUAAGAGCAGAUGGGGCAGGCGUCAGACACUGACACAGGGGACCAGACACUGUCCUCACGUGUGUAGCCGCAGAUGCCCCAGUAGAGCUGGAAUACAGUGGCCUUGGAGAGCAGCCCCAGAAUCCCAACACAAAGAAACUGGCGAAACUCAUAAUGGAAGAGAUGAGGAAAUUUCCAAGAAUGACCUCGAAGAGACACCAUGUUGCCCAGAAACCAGAUCUAAUGUUGCCACACAACCAGUCCCUAGUUGUGUAUUGGGUUCUAAUGCUGUGUUGGGUGCUGGGGCUGCAGCAAGGAGGGUGACACAGGCAGUUGCUGGGCC